rnacentral:rRNA from 1 species
CACGGGGGGAACGCGAAGAACCUUACCUGGACUAGAAUGUGAGGGAAUGUCGGGUAAUGCCGGCAGUCCGGGAAACCGGACCCAAAACAAGGUGCUGCAUGGCUGUCGUCAGCUCGCGUCGUGAGAUGUUGGGUUAAGUCCCGCAACGAGCGCAACCCUUAUCAACAGUUGCCAUCAUUAAGUUGGGAACUCUAAGGGGACCGCCGGUGACAAACCGGAGGAAGGUGGGGAUGACGUCAAGUCAUCAUGGCCCUUAUGACCAGGGCUACACACGUGCUACAAUGGUCGGUACAGAGGGUUGCCAACCCGCGAGGGGGAGCUAAUCCCUUAAAGCCGAUCGUAGUCCGGAUCGCAGUCUGCAACUCGACUGCGUGAAGUCGGAAUCGCUAGUAAUCGCGAAUCAGCCAUGUCGCGGUGAAUACGUUCCCGGGUCUUGUACACACGC